rnacentral:rRNA from 1 species
AUUGAACGCUGGCGGCACGCUUAACACAUGCAAGUCGAACGGUAACAGGUCUUCGGAUGCUGACGAGUGGCGAACGGGUGAGUAAUACAUCGGAACGUGCCCGAUCGUGGGGGAUAACGAAGCGAAAGCUUUGCUAAUACCGCAUAAGAUCUACGGAUGAAAGCAGGGGACCGCAAGGCCUUGCGCGAACGGAGCGGCCGAUGGCAGAUUAGGUAGUUGGUGGGAUAAAAGCUUACCAAGCCGACGAUCUGUAGCUGGUCUGAGAGGACGACCAGCCACACUGGGACUGAGACACGGCCCAGACUCCUACGGGAGGCAGCAGUGGGGAAUUUUGGACAAUGGGCGAAAGCCUGAUCCAGCCAUGCCGCGUGCAGGAUGAAGGCCUUCGGGUUGUAAACUGCUUUUGUACGGAACGAAAAGACUCUGGCUAAUACCUGGGGUCCAUGACGGUACCGUAAGAAUAAGCACCGGCUAACUACGUGCCAGCAGCCGCCGUAA